UGGUAAGAGUGGCUUUAUUCAACCAUAGAAGUAUGUACGGGACAGCUUGUUCAUCACAGGGUGUAACCUCAGCAUGGUAGGUCACAUGGUAUUAUCACAGCAUGGAAGGUCACAUGGUAUUAUCACAGCAUGGAAGGUCACAGGGCAUUAUCACAGCAUGGAAGGUCACAGGGCAUUAUCACAGCAUGGAAGGUCACAGGGCAUUAUCACAGCAUGGAAGGUCACAGGGCAUUAUCACAGCAUGGAAGGUCACAGGGUAUUAUCACAGCAUGGAAGGUCACAGGGUAUUAUCACAGCAUGGUAGGUCACAGGGUAUUAUCACAGCAUGAACACAAAGAACGGUGACUGUCACAGACGGCAGCACGCGUCGGAACAGUUGACAAACUCACUUGCAUUAAAAGCAACGUAUAGCCGGAGUUAUGCAUGCUGUAUGCAUGACAAUGAAACAGGCAAUGAACCAAGAUAUCGCGAGAUCAAAACAUGGAAAAUUGAAGAACAGCACCAUGGUAGCUUGUCACAGAGAUCGGUCAUACGUCUCGAUACAUCGUGGUAAUUAUUGUGCGUCUCUGAAUGACCAAGUUGAUUGGACCCUGCGCUAAUGGAGGCAAGUUGUGCCAGAAUACUACUGCGUUGAGAGAACGCUAUGUACAGUUGUGCCGUUGGCAGCGUUAUUAGGCACUCAGACGUGUCGCAGGGCGCAGACACCUGCCAGUGAAGUGAAUUUACAGAGUGCAGAAUACCUGGUUCAAUCCUCGGACAAAGGCACGUCGAACCAGCAAAGUUGCACGCGGUGCGGUCAAGCAGUUACGCGGCAUGCAGUCUGGACAUACAAACAGUCGCAGACGUGUUAGAUCCUGUCCGUAGACCACGUGUGAAUCCACAUUUACAAUCCCAUAUGGUAUGAAGAUCGAAAUCACCGUGUUGCAAAAUGGUGAGCGACUACAGAAGUUUCUUACCGGGAUAGCAAAGAAAUCAUGUGGGUAAAGAACUGCCCCCCAAAAAAUUAAGCUGAAAAAAAAAGACAUGCUAUCAAACUACGAAAACUCUGAAUUGAUUGCUCUCCAAUUUUGUUAAAUAUGACGUCAAGGACUAUGUUGCGUAUUCACUAUAUUGGAAGAGAAUAUAUGUCUGGCACAUGUCAACAUGAUCACAUGGAAAUACACGAGACAAUGAAAUGACUAAAUAACCUAACUAUGUGACGGUCAAGCAAGCAUCGUGUAAAAACGCAGUCUCACGGGGCACAUGCUCACGGAGAUCGAACACAGGCCGUUGCGCGUAACGAAGGCUGACAAAGGAAUGAAGUGUCAGGAAGAGAGCGUCUAGAGAAACCCGGUGCAGGUGCUCGCAACAGCAUGAACAGAUUGCUUAACUCUCACGCGCUAUAAAUAGGAAGCCCUAAAGAAUGCUGGCGAGCCUGAAUUGAAAAGGCUGUUGGUGCCAAGAAAAAAAAACGAAAGUUGGACCAUGAUCAUCUGAUGCAGGCACGCACUCUCACCGGGCCUUGCGGUGGAUGAGUUUUGAAGAUUUGUGGUUAUUCAUUUAAACAUUUAUGUAAACAUUUAUUUAUGUAAACAUUUAUUUAUGUAAACAUUUAUUUAUGUAAACAUUUAUUCCAGAGAGCAGCUGAGAGCUCGCAGAGUCUGCUGCUGCUUGUUAAAUGUUAUCACAGUUGCGUUUCUAGCCGAUCAGGUCUUAGCGACCCUGUGAGCUCGCCAGAACUGGCAAGGCGGUGAAUUUGGCAACGUGGCGAAAUUUGUCAAUGUCCGGAGCAGUCCUGAAACUAGAUUUGCCACGAAACAUGCGCAUUCGAUGCAAGUGAGGCAUCGUUUGUACGUACACUACACGAAUGCAGUAUAACGCAGAUACUCGAAUGAAAUGGCGAUUAUAGAUUAAGAUGUAGGAUACUGUAGGGGUUUGUUGGGUUUCAAUGCAUUGUUUCAGUAACAUAGCUUACUCGUGCAAAUCUGGGUCUACGCAUUCUAGGUGGAACGAAAAUGGUUGCCGUCUUGUUGAAAAUUUUGAUUUCAUUUUCCACCCACGUGACACAUUGCUGACCAUGUUCUUGCACGACCGCCAUACUAAUAUCGAUCCAUUGGGAUAACAAGAAACGAUCCUUCGUAUUUUAAGCAGUGCCUGUAGUGUUGUACGUAGAACAUACAACUAGCUCUCAGAACAGGCCAACUUGUCGGUUGCUAACGUCUGCUGGAAAAUUAAACGUCUAUGGGCUCAUUGCAUGAGGCACUCCCACGCGUGUGGGAAGUGGGGAGGAAUAAUUUGUGAUGAUGCAUUUCUCAACUUUGUUAGUUUACAGAUUUCCACUGUCCUCGAUUACACACAAACCUUUCUCGUUCCGUUGAAUAAGAGGUGGCCCCUAUUUAUUACGAUGACAAUUCUCUUCGGAUACAGAGAUUACGAGUACACAGACAAAUGUGGCCACUGAAACUUGUGCCCAGUAGAAAGAACAAAAUUUUGGUAUUUGUAUAGUGUGUUGCAUUUUCAAUUGGUCAUUUUCCUUUCACCGUUUAGACUAACUUUUUUUUUUACCGGUACACAGUUCUUCCCUUCGUAAAUCAAGAUUUUGUAGUGAUGGUUUUUCGGGCGCUUAAACUUGUACAUCAUAAAUCCAAUUGGUUUGGGUGCCUGGUUAAGAAGGCAGAUUUCUAAACGAAACGGCAGAUUAACUGAUGAAUGUGUCUCUAGGUGGUCUGGUUAUUUGAAUUGCUUUGAUUACAGCCGCUAGAUUCUGGGAACAAACGAUGCUGCUAUAUUUUA